rnacentral:rRNA from 1 species
AUGGGUGAGUAACACGUGGGCAACCUGCCCUACAGAUGGGGAUAACUCCGGGAAACCGGGGCUAAUACCGAAUAAACAGUACGUCCGCAUGGACGUACUCUGAAAGACGGCAUCUCGCUGUCACUGUAGGAUGGGCCCGCGGCGCAUUAGCUAGUUGGUGAGGUAACGGCUUACCAAGGCGACGAUGCGUAGCCGACCUGAGAGGGUGAUCGGCCACACUGGGACUGAGACACGGCCCAGACUCCUACGGGAGGCAGCAGUAGGGAAUCUUCCACAAUGGACGAAAGUCUGAUGGAGCAAUGCCGCGUGAGCGAAGAAGGUUUUCGGAUCGUAAAGCUCUGUUGUAAGGGAAGAACACGUACGGGAGUAACUGCCCGUACCUUGACGGUACCUUAUUAGAAAGCCACGGCUAACUACGUGCCGGCAGCCGCGGUAAUACGUAGGUGGCAAGCGUUGUCCGGAAUUAUUGGGCGUAAAGCGCGCGCAGGCGGUCCUUUAAGUCUGAUGUGAAAGCCCACGGCUCAACCGUGGAAGGUCAUUGGAAACUGAGGGACUUGAGUACAGAAGAGGAAAGCG